GUUGCUUUUUCCCACUUUUACCAACACAAGCGCAAAUUAAUGGAACAUAUUAAAUGACAGAAAUCAUGUGAAAAACACGUCAUAACCACAUCUUCUUUGUCUUGCCUCCAGAUUUGGUAAUUUAGUAAUUAUCUAAAAAAGUGUGUUUAGAUUUUUCAAUCCUGGAGACACCCACACAGAUGCUCUUAUACAAAUGACUUAAAGCUAUCGUUAAAAUACUUUUCACCUCUCACUUUUCCCUCUAUCGGAUUUUUAUAUUUCUCCAAAUAUCUCUCUGCAGAUCGUGGCCUGAUCUCCUGCCUCUCUUUCUCUUUUCUGUUUCUAUUUCUGAAAUGUAAAAAUUUCUGCAGGGGGUAAAAAGCAGAGAGUGGGAGAGCGGCGGAGAGAGGAGUGCUGGGCAUUGGAGAGAAAUGUGUUGCAUGGCCUGAAGCCUAACGGGUAAUAAAGUCAUUAAUUCAGCUGAUUAAGUUGGCCUUUGGGUUAAAGAAAAAUCAUAUCCGUCUCCCUUUGAGAUGUGACUGGGGAAGCACAGAAGAGGGAGAAGCCAGCUAAUUAGUGCUGAAAACAGGAGGGGGGUGAGAGGGAGAAGGAGGUAAAGAGAGAAAGAGAGACAAAAAGAGAGAGAGAGAGAGAGAGAGAGAGAGUGUGUGUGUGCAUGUGUUACGGGACAGUAGAGGGGGAUGGGGGGGAGGGGGUUCAGAUAGGUGUUUCAGCUGAACUACUAAUGAGGCAUGUUUGGGGUGAGGGAGUGACAAGCUCAUCAAAACGCCCGCUUACCAGGCGAACCAUUUCUCUCAAAGAGUCUGCCCGGCUACCUUUGAGCCUGACACUGCCACUUAAUGAUGUGAAACAAGAUAGAGAGGGAGAAGUUCGGGUGAAAUGUCAGUUUGCUCCCAGUUUAAUGAGCUUGUUGUUGAAUAGAGAAGAGGGGCGGGAGGAGAAAGCAACAGGAGCUGCCCUUCACUGCUCUGAGCAAAACAUCAUCUCUAUGAAUGCAUUAAUAUGUGGAAAUAAGACUAGGUGAGAUAAGAUAUUCCUUUAAUAGGGGAAAUUCCACAAUUACAGCAGCAUAAAUACAGACACAAAAAGAGAAACUAAAGGAUAAAGAAAUUUAGGAUUAAAAUAUAUAUAUAUAUAUACAUGAGUCUUAUUUACUAUAUACACAGGUACAGAAUAUACAUAUAAUAUGAUUUAUUGCACACUGAGGUUUCUGUUGUGGAGUCUGCUCUGAGCAAAACACCACCUCUAUGAAUGCAUUAAUAGGUGUAAAUACUGUUAACCACCACCUCUAUGAAUGCAUUAAUAUGUGGAUAUACUGUAAAACACCACCUCUAUAAAUGCAUUAAUAUGUGUAAAUACUGGAAAACACCACCUUUAUGAAUGCAUUAAUGGGUUGCACUGUGAGAUGAUCUUAAACCAGAUUCACUUACUAAUGUUACAAUCUUCCCUGUUAUUCUCUGGUUGUCAUUUCAUAUUUUGACUUCUCUUAAUUAUUGACAGCACCAUUAGAUUUAAUCUACACUUUAAAGCUAAACAGAAGAUUAGUCAACAAAAAGAUCUGUCCUUAACUCAUCAAAGUAUUUUAAGGGUGGUGAUCUACCUGAGGGGCAGAAGCCUUAAAGCUUUACAUCUUUCCUACUAAAGACACAUAGAUAGGUGGAAAGAUUUUUAGUGAAUAAAAGGUUUGUCCAAAAAACAUCUUGCAUGGUAGUUUUUGUUCAAUGUGAAGGAGCCGAGGGAGUUAAAUGUACCACAAAUCAGACAUCUUUACCUAAACAUUUUGCACAAACCUCUCUCCCUUUGCAUGUGUUAUAGACUUGAGUAGCUCACAGAAGUAAAAUGCUCUCAUCUAAUUUGCCUUUUUUUUUGUUUUCAGAGCCAAAAAUGUUCCUUUAACACACUCAAACCACCUGUAAUUGCCAAGUGAGUCAUGCAGAGAUGAAGACAAUACCCCAGAUUUGAAGAAACCAUCAUGUCGUCUUGUUAGGAGCAACUCUGUUCCUCACUUCCCACAUGCAGAAUAAUCUGGCUCAGUGUUAAAGGCUCGACUCCUGACAGCGGCUCACAGUGCCACCCUGAAUCCCUGCUGCUGCUUGAUGCACACAACAGAAAACAAUCCAGAGGUGGAUUGAAGUCAUGCAGAGGUCAGCAGCUCCCUCGAGAGGGGAUUGUGGAUGAUUUCUCUGACGUGGUGCUUUCCAGCACACAAGGGUUAAAAAAAACCCUGUAUGUUAUACCCAUUCAGUGGCAGUAUGGAAAAUGUUAAUACUGGAUUGUUAAGUGUUGUAUCUGUCUGGACAGCAAUCCAAAACAGUAUCAUUAUGUUUGUUUGUGUAUGCGCAGUAUUCUUAUAGACAUGAAAAAAGGGGGUCAUUCACCAAGAGUCAUUUUCACCUCCUUUAUCUAUCUGGAAAUGUGCAACUGGUAACAAACCCCCUUUAUUUUGAUAGCAGUUUUUGGUAACAUAUGAACUCCCCUCUUGUGAUGCAUUAUAAGUACAUUUUAAUGCAUCUAUUUAUAAUAGUCCUUAUGAGUUUUAAUGUACUAAAAUAUGACUUGUAGCUCUUUACGUAAGUGAUCAGUAACGAAGCAGCAAACAGUCAUAUGGCAAAUUUAUGGUGGCUAAUUUAAGUUUAAAGCUCCUGUGAGGAGCUUUUUGAUAUUUAUAAAAUAGACUGACAUUCGUAAUGAUGCUUUUUUUGUGGAUCACCAAAGCAUACAAAAACAGGACUGAUUGUUUAUAACAUGUAGUUUUUCAUACCUAAAGUAGUGAUGUGUCCUUCAGUGCCGAGGCUUCGAAGCGUGUGUCGAGUAAUGAAGGGGGCGUUUCCGCGAAGCGCGUAUCGAGGCUUGCUUCAUGUAGGGGUGAAGCCAAAAAUGAUGACGUCCGAAGCCUCGCUACCCGGCUAUACCACGUGACUGAUUCAAGAAACGGUUCACGGGUUUGACGGAUGAUUUAACAGGCAGCGAAACGCAAUGGAGUCCUGCCCCACUCACAAUCCAUAGACUCGAGACUUGUUGAAAAGUUGUUUUUAAAUAAAAAUAAAUAAAUAUAAAUGAAAUGUUUAUGUUUUAUUUGUUGUCUCCGUAACAAAAGU